rnacentral:rRNA from 1 species
GAUGAACGUUGGCGGCGUGCCUAAUACAUGCAAGUCGAACGAAGACUGUAGUAAUACUGUCUUAGUGGCGAACGGGUGAGUAACGCGUGGGUGACCUGCCCCGAAGUGUGGGAUAACAGUCCGAAAGGAUUGCUAAUACUGCAUAAUAUCCAAGAGAUUAGAUGCUUUUGGAUUAAAGGAGUAAUUCGCUUCGGGAGGGGCCCGCGUCCCAUCAGCUAGUUGGUAAGGUAAUGGCUUACCAAGGCGAUGACGGGUAGGGGACCUGAGAGGGUGGCCCCCCACAAUGGAACUGAAACACGGUCCAUACACCUACGGGUGGCAGCAGUAGGGAAUAUUAGUAAUGGGCGAAAGCCUGAACUAGCAACGCCGCGUGUGCGAAGAAGGCCUUCGGGUCGUAAAGCACUUUUUGAGAGGAUGAGGAAGGACGGUACGUCUCAGAAUAAGUCUCGGCUAACUACGUGCCAGCCAGCCGCGGUAAACUAGUACUACG